rnacentral:rRNA from 1 species
UACGUAGGGUGCGAGCGUUGUCCGGAAUUAUUGGGCGUAAAGAGCUUGUAGGCGGUCUGUCGCGUCUGCUGUGAAAAUCCGGGGCUCAACCCCGGACUUGCAGUGGGUACGGGCAGACUAGAGUGAGGUAGGGGAGACUGGAAUUCCUGGUGUAGCGGUGAAAUGCGCAGAUAUCAGGAGGAACACCGAUGGCGAAGGCAGGUCUCUGGGCCACUACUGACGCUGAGAAGCGAAAGCAUGGGGAGCGAACAGG